rnacentral:rRNA from 1 species
AACGAACGCUGGCGGCAUGCCUAACACAUGCAAGUCGAACGAGCCCUUCGGGUCUAGUGGCGCACGGGUGCGUAACGCGUGGGAACCUGCCCUUAGGUUCGGAAUAACUCCCCGAAAGGGGUGCUAAUACCGGAUAAUGUCUUCGGACCAAAGAUUUAUCGCCUUUGGAUGGGCCCGCGUUGGAUUAGCUAGUUGGUAGGGUAAAAGCCUACCAAGGCGACGAUCCAUAGCUGGGCUGAGAGGAUGAUCAGCCACACUGGGACUGAGACACGGCCCAGACUCCUACGGGAGGCAGCAGUGGGGAAUAGUGGACAAUGGGCGAAAGCCUGAUCCAGCAAUGCCGCGUGAGUGAUGAAGGCCUGAGGGUUGUAAAGCUCUUUUACCCGGGAUGAUAAUGACAGUACCGGGAGAAUAAGCUCCGGCUAACUACGUG